CCUACGGGAGGCUGCAGUGAGGAAUAUUGGUCAAUGGCCGGAAGGCUGAACCAGCCAUGCCGCGUGAAGGUCAGUGCCCUACGGGCGUUAAACUUCUUUUGUGCGGGAGCAAUACUGGUCACGUGUGGCCAGACGAGAGUACCGUACGAAUAAGCAUCGGCUACCUCCGUGCAAGCAGCCGCGGGAAUACGGGGGAUGCAAGGGUUAUCCGGGUUUGUUGGGUUUAAAGGGUGCGUAGGCUGGGAGGUAAGUCAGCGGUGAAAUGCCGCCGCUGAACGGGGUGAAGUGUCAUUGAUACUGCCUGGCUGGAAUGCGGAUGCCGUAGGAGGAAUGUGUGGUGUAGCGGUGAAAUGCAUAGAUAUCA
rnacentral:rRNA from 1 species